rnacentral:rRNA from 1 species
UCGAGAAUUUUUCUCAAUGGGCGAAAGCCUGAAGGAGCGACGCCGCGUGGAGGAUGAAGGCCUUCGGGUUGUAAACUCCUGUCAUUGGUGAACAAAGCCUGCGGUUUACUGCCGUCAGGCGUGAUAGUAGCCGAAGAGGAAGAGACGGCUAACUCUGUGCCAGCAGCCGCGGUAAUACAGAGGUCUCAAGCGUUGUUCGGAUUUAUUGGGCGUAAAGGGUGCGUAGGCGGCGGAGUAAGUGGGAUGUGAAAUCCCGGAGCUUAACUUCGGAAUUGCAUUCGAUACUGCUUUGCUAGAGUGCUGGAGAGGAGACUGGAAUUUACGGUGUAGCAGUGAAAUGCGUAGAUAUCGUAAGGAACACCAGUGGCGAAGGCGAGUCUCUGGACAGCUACUGACGCUAAGGCACGAAGGCCAGGGGAGCAAACGG